rnacentral:lncRNA from 1 species
UGGACCACCUAGGCAAGUGAGGCACGGCGCAAAACUCAUCGCCAGAAACGAGAGCAUUUGGCAUUGUUGAGGGGCCAUUAAACCCACCAGAAACCUGCGUCGAAAAUGAUAUUCCAGCAGCCGAACCUUGAGCCACACAACCGAUCGGAGUUGAAGCCCGAGCCACCGAUGACUAGACGACAUAAUCACGGUUAUAACGAUAAUAGCAUCGCUAGGCUAAAUGCCCAAAUCUACUACAGAUCUAGCAUUGUAUUCGAGAACGAAACCCUCUGUCUCGACCACCAGACGGAGGACGGCCACAACGGACAGAUGCCACCAUCAGUGGCAAUGGAACAGAUUCAACAAAAUUGGCAUGAAUCAACACCUCCUCUGGAAUCACACGCAUCUGCCAAUUAUCAUAUUCGGGAAGCACAUCAACGAGAUGGUGAAACGAUAACGGUUCUGACAAGAACGAUGCUAACGUAAUCACGGCAUCAAAUUUUGGAGGUAGACCUACAAGAACAAUUUCAACCUUUUUCGCCUCCGAGAUUCGAGAACCAGAGGCCUCGAUCAAGGCACAUGUAUUUUGUAUUUUUGCUACAUAUUCAAUGAUAGUUAGAGUACCUUUUUUAAGGGAAUACAGUUCAUGACGAAUACGGGACAACUUCGCACCGGUUACUGCUGCAAAGAGGGGAGUGGCAGUAUUCCAAAAAUCACUUGCCGUUCGAACAUCUAUAAAUGAAGAUAACAAUGAAGGAUGAAUGGUGGAAAGUAACCAGAAGGCAAGCAGUCGAUCCUAUUGAAGAAACGCCGAGGCAUCCGGAUUUGAAACUAGAGAGCCGUCAGGCGAUUGCACAAAACGUGGCAGAGCAAACAACGUCCCCUACAAAAGACUGGUCAGUUCGUAACCUUCAACGAUUAGCCUAAUAUUUUGUUUCCACUGAACGAAACUUCCAUUAUCCAGUUUAACAGUGUCAUAGCGAGGAAAAGAGUGAACAAGUCGAGCAGCAGUGAACGCCGGACAUCCAUGCUUAAUAGAUGCAGAGUCAGCCGAAGCAGUGGUGGUCAUGAGAACUAAUGACGAUCAAGUUUCCAGCACCAAGGUGACUGAUACCAUGUAAAUAUCUAUAGUAAGCUUGAAUAAAACUGUAUUGAGUAUUGAAUGAGUAUUAUGUAUUUUUUCACUUCAGUAUAUCGCUAGUAUUUAUAGAGUACAUGAGUAAUUGUUGAUUAGUAACUAGUGCUAAUAGCAUAACUACUUGAAUAACAAACUUUCAGCUAAUAGACUAAUAGAGUUUAGGGCUAACAGACUCUUUACCUAUACACUAACAGGCUUAAAAAGAUCCAGGCACAAUAUCUUAUUUUAAAUUAUGUAAAAUAGUAGAAAUUGUGUUAGGGUUUUACACUGUCAUAUUAAUAUAUUUCCAUGAGUCUGGUACAGUAGGGUUACAAAAUAAUCUAAGGGUGAUUUAUGAUGACACUUUCACAAUAGCUAUGUUAGGCUUUUGGGUCAAGUUUAAGGAGAUUCAGCUAUAUGUUGAACAUGAAGUGAAUAACCUUAAAAUUGUAGGUGAUAUGUUACUGUUGACUACAGGGGAAAGUGAUGUUGAAAGAGUAGAAGUUGAUAGAGAGGAUGAUGUUGAAGGGGUAAAAGUUGAUGGGGAGGGUGAUGUUGAUGGGGUAGAUUUAGAUGGGGAAGGUGUUGUAGAAGAGGUACAAGUUGUUGGGGAAUGUGAUGUUGAAAGGGUAGAAGCUGAUGGGUAGGGUGAUGUAGAAGGCGUACAAACUUAUGAAGAGGGUGAUGUAGAAGGUGUAAAAGUUAAGGCAAAUGAGUAUGGUGGUGGGGAAAGUGGUGGGCAAGUUAGUUUAGGAUCAACUAUUAGAGAAGAUAAUGAUAGUGGUUGUGGAUAAUUUGUUGUAAUGAAAAUGCUGUUGAUUUUGCAACAUUAGAUGGAGUCGACAAUGUUGCUGCUGCAGUUAGUGGAGAAGAGGAGAAUGGGAAUAAGACUGAGGUAUGGGACUCAGAUGAACAUGGCAGCUAGGUUGGGUUCGAUGAAGAUGAAAAACAUGAAGAUGUGAGAGAAGGAGAAGCAAGUUUCCCUUAUACAAUGACCGGUCUGAUCCAUUAAAAUUUAGUUUGGAGCAUGAGCCAAUGGGAAGGACUCCGCUGCAGUGAAGGCUAAACAUCAUCGAAAUAGUAACGCUUUUGACAACCCCAAUUCUAACGCUUCCUGCAAAAUGUUCACUCAAUUUUGUAGGCAGUGAACUGCAGGCCCAAGCUGUUGCCCCUUUUUUAUUUUAAGGAACUAUCUAGUUGUUCACUUAAAUUCGAGUAAUAUAAGAACAGAAAUAACAUUUCUUCUAAAUGAGAUGAGAGAUGCAUGUUAGUGGUUAGUAUUGCGGUAGCCAUAUGAUAUGCAUUGUUUCACUGACAAAUGCACAAGGCUGCCUUUGCAUUGCCUUCAUUCUUAAAGGGGGAGGUGACGCUACAGUGCGACUCUGCAACCAAAACACCAGGAAUAUGAAUCUCCCCCAACCAAAUAUUUACAGCAAUCUCGAUUGUUUCUGUUGAAAUGAAAAUACUACCAUCUGGGGAAAUCAGCAGUAAAUAAAUGGUUCUUCACAUGCAGGAGCAGCCGAAGUCAGUUUGCCUGCAUGUUUAUUACAGAUUUUAGUAAGUGUAGGGCCUGUUGUUUUGGAGCACAGUAGUUGCUGUAAAUUGCUUUGUUGGCGCAUUUAUGAACCCUUUGCUUUAUGCAGCUUCCUUUUGC